rnacentral:lncRNA from 1 species
GGGGGAGGAGGCAGUGGGGCUAUCGAUAGACGCAGGGUCACAACGCAAGUCAAGUCACUAUGCGGUGACAGGACAGAACCUGAGUGGGGGCCAGGCAGCCUGGCACAGGAGAAUGGAUCCAGGAACUGCACAGGAGCGAGCACAGAGCCCUCACCCGGCCCAGAGCACCUUUCACCUGCACCUGCACGCAGACAGGGAUUGAACUUGGGUCCUUGCGCUUGCAAGGCAGGCAGCGGAACCACUGAGCUAAAUCCCCGGCCCAAAAACUACAAUUUUGUAGAUAAGGCAGGUUAUUUAAGUUUUAAGAAAAAAUGAAAAAGCCCUCUGAUCUUUCUCCACAGCGGUGGCCCUGUGGACGACCUGUAGGUCUGUGUUCCCAGCACCCCCAGCGCAUGCCCUGGGCUGGGAAGCCAAUGCCGCCACUGGGCCUUGGGUGCAGAUUGCAUGGGUCGCUGCCGGUCCACACACAGCCCCCCAAUGCGGGGGAGGGGAGGCUUCCAGCCUCUGGGGCACACAGCACCCACCUCUUCCGCAAAUGUCAUUGCAAACGCCAGGGCUGAGUCUGUAGUUGCUGUCAGGCUUGCUAGAGCCAGACUAGAAGGUUUGGGGGACAAAGUUAACUUGGGUUGUGCCCCUAGGGACAAUCCAGAAGAUCUAGGGGGCGGGGGGGGGGAUCUCCACCGCUGUCCGAAGGUUGGCCCCUCCCCUGUGCCUGGCCCGGCCCCACCCUCACGUCACAGAGCCCACCCUGCAUCGUGUCCCGCCCCCAACCCACGCCCACUCUCAGGCCCCGCCCCUGCCCGCCCAAGGCUGCAGGAUACGACGCCGUCGAAGGCUUCUCCGCACCACUGGAGGAUCUGCCGCAGGCGCGUGCGGGUGCUGCCCGCCUGCCUGGCUCUCCCGAUCAGGGCUGAGUAAGUGGCGAAGAGGACGCCCUCUGAGGGAAUCCACUGAUGAGGAGAAGAUGGAGGCAUUGGAGAGGUCUUCGAAGUAGGAGUCCUGGAAAACAGGCCUUGCCAGAAAAAGGAGUGAGGCUGACACUCAACACAGUGUGGAUGGACCUUGAGGACACCAUGCUCGGCGAGGAACGCCAGACAGAAGGACACACAGUGUGGGCUCCAUGGACAGGAAAUGCCUAGGACAGGCAACUCCAGAGACAGGAAGUGGAUCUGUGGGUGCUGUGGCUGGAGAUGGGAUGGGGGUGAUAGGUCAUGGGGAACCGAAAAACGGGCGAUGAAAGUGUUCUCAAACUGUUGCUUACAGAGCCAUGAAUACAUUAAAAUUACUGAAUUAUGUGUUUUAAACAAAUGAAUUAUAUAUGAAUUACAUCUCAAUCAAGUUAUCUAAAAGAAAAAAAAACAACCAAGACUCCAAGUCUGCAAAGCCCGGCACAGGGAGCAGCUCAGCAGGGGUGAGGGUGGACAAGGGGACCC